GGGCCCGUGGCCUAGCAAGGAUAGGGCGGCUGGCUUCGGACCAGCAAGUCGUGGGAUCGAAGCCCACCGGGCCCA
rnacentral:tRNA from 1 species